rnacentral:rRNA from 1 species
AUGGAUCAUGAGGUCCUGGAGCGUAUACUUGAUGGAAGAGAAAAUCCGACAAAUCUAUCACUCUCACUUUUGAAGGAUAUCACUGAAAAUUUCUCAGAGGAUCGAGAAAUCGGCCAUGGUGGAUUUGCAACUGUUUAUAAGGGAGUGCUCCCGAAUGGGAACGUUGCGGUAAAGAGGAUAAAGAACAGUCAUUCAAUCAAGGAGACAUUGUUUUAUCACGAAGUUGACAGCCUGUUGAACAUUGAACAUGAAAAUAUUAUACGGUUUCUUGGCUUCUGUGCUAGCACAGAUCAGACGGCAAUAAAAAUUGAAGGAUUGAAACAACAUAUUUAUGCCGAGGUACGAGAAAGACUACUCUGUUUUGAGUAUGUCAGCAAUGGAAGCCUGAGAAAGUACAUUACAGAUGAAUUAAGGGGACUUAAAUGGAACACACGUUAUGAAAUAAUUAGAGGCAUUUGUGAAGGUUUGUACCAUCUGCACCAUGAAAAGAAAAUAUACCAUAUGGAUAUGAAACCUGAGAAUAUACUGCUAGACAAUGAUAUGGUUCCGAAAAUCACUGAUUUUGGUUUAUCGAGACUCGAUGAGAAGUCACAAACCAUGAGUGAAGUCCGUCUUGGAUCACUUGGAUACUGUGCUCCAGAAUACCUAUUUCAGGGAAAGAUGUCAUUCAAAUCAGACAUAUUCAGUUUGGGAGUUAUAAUUAUUGAACUAGUGACAGGACAAAAGGUGAUCCCCAAGAAUAAAAACAAUGUAUUUAGGAGAUGGAGGCACAGAUGGAGGAAAACAGGGAAGGAAACACAGUUGGUUUACCAACAAGUAUCAAAAUGCAUGGAAAUUGGGUUACUUUGUCAGGAAAUUGACCCGUCCGAACGACCUUUUAUAUGGGAUAUCAUAGAUGAUAUCAGACAAGUGGAAUGUGUCAAUGGGUCAAUUAGAAAUGUCUCUGAAUAUAAGUUUGGACAGAUAAGCCCUUACUCGGAGGACGACGAUAUGCUUGGAAUUGACCCGCUCGAACUACAUUUUCCUUUCCAGCUUAACAAACAGAUGGCAUGCACCAUUCAGAUAACCAACGAGACGGGCUCUUACAUUGCCUUCAACGUCGAAGAUAUGAACCCUCUGUCAUACUGUGCACAACCGCAGAAAGACAUUAUACCACCACGAUCCAAGUGUAAUGUCGAAAUAACAAUGCAACCGCAGGCCAAGGCACCGAGAGAUCAUACCAACGAAUUCACUGUUUGGAGCACCAAAGUGAAUGAUGGCCUUGCCAUUGAGGAUAUGGCUACAAUCAAGUUUAUUAAAGAGGCAGCCAACGUGGUUGAUGACGUGAAUUUGGAUGUGGUUUUUGACGUCAGUGAGCCACAAGAAGCAAGAAGCAAGAAGCAAGUGACAAUCCAACCUUUACUAGAGAUUAGAGGAGAUGAUGCAGUCGGUCCGAUCUUUUGUAUGGAUGUGCAUCAGACAAAGCCAUUGAUUAUAACCGGUCACCAAUUUGGUGAUGUUCAGAUUUGGAACUCUGACACGCAGAAAGUGGUCGCUUCGAUUAAGGUCUCAGAGGAAGUAGUAUCCAAAAUAAAAUUUGUUGCACGUAAGCAGUGGCUUGUGGCUGUAUCUCAUGAUUGUUUCGUCCAUGUUUACAAGUAUGAAAAGGAACUCGAAAAGGUCACGAGUUUCAAAGCUCAGGAUCGUGAUGUCUCCUCGUGUUCAUUAGACGUUCAUCCAACCCAGCCGUAUGUGCUGACAGAAUGUGGUACUGAAAUAAAGCUUUGGGACUGGGAACGGGGCUGGAGCUGCAUACAGACAUUCGAAGAACACUCAAAUCUUAUUAACGAACUAAAAUUUAACCCAGAGGACACCAACAGUUUUGCAAGUGCUUCAUGGGAUAGGACAGUAAAGGUUUGGAGUCUUGAUUCUCCCAAAUCCAAGUAUACUCUAUGUGGGCAUUCAGACAGCGUGCACUGCCAGGAUUUCUUCAAGCGUGAUGGUCAGCAGUAUUUGAUUAGUGGCUCUCGUGACAAGACUGCUAAGAUAUGGGACUUGCAGAAGAAGGAGUGUGUUCAUACACUCGAACAUGAGUGUGACGUCUAUUCCGUCUUUGCCCAUCCCAGUCUUCCAGUUCUAAUUACAGCUACAAGCAAUGGUGCUGUUCGUGUGUGGAGCUCCACUGAUUUCACGCUGAAGACAAAGCUUGGAGUCAUGCUUGGGGUUGGUAUUCGUGGUUUCACAUGUUUGACGGGGUCAGAAAGGGUUGCAGUUGCACAAUUUUACACAGUGUCAGUGAUGAAAAUUGGUGAUCAAGAAGGACAAGGUGGUAGUGAAGGCAGCAGCAACGAGAAUUCCAUAGCAGCAAUCGAGAUGACUGCUAGUAAGUCUACGCAGUCUAUGCUAGCACGUCAACUCUAG